AUUGAACGCUGGCGGCAGGCCUAACACAUGCAAGUCGAGCGAGCGGCGGACGGGUGAGUAAUGUAUGGGGACUGCCCGAUAGAGGGGGAUAACUACUGGAAACGGUAGCUAAUACCGCAUACUAUCGGAUAACCCAUAUGGGAUUAGCUAGUAGGUGAGGUAAUGGCUCACCUAGGCGACGAUCCCUAGCUGGUCUGAGAGGAUGAUCAGCCACAUGGGGACUGAGACACGGCCAAGAUCCCUACGGGGGAAGCGUAGGGGAAUAUUGCACAAGGGGGGAAAGCCUGAUGAAGCCAGGCCGGGUGUAUGAAGAAGGCCCUAGGGUUGUAAAGUACUUUCAGUCGGGAGGCGUUACCGACAGAAGAAGCACCGGCUAACUCCGUGCCAGCAGCCGCGGUAAUA
rnacentral:rRNA from 1 species